GUAUUUGUUUACUUUUAACACGUGUGUUUAAAUCAAAACAUGUUUAUGUUUAUUUUGAUUGGACCAUCAGUAAGUUAUUACCGGUUUAAGUUAUAUCAAUCAUGAUAACUUCAUGCUAGAAUUUUAGCGCUAAAAUUAUAUAAGAUAUCUAGAAUUGUCAUUCGAGGUUCGCCUAUCCGACAGAAAGGUUCGUUUCCCACCCA
rnacentral:lncRNA from 1 species